CAUUGUAUACUGUACCUUCUUGCACGUCUCUGUUUCCUGUGUGUGUUGUUAGAAAUCAAACUAACUUUAGGAAACAAUAUGCCAAAAGCAUAUUUACAAUUACUUAAGACCGUUUUUAAUUUCUUUUUCUUUAGACCAAAUGCCCUGUACACAUAUACGGACUCAGAGGAUGAGCAGCCUACAAAAAAAUGGUUUCCCCAGGCCCCUCGAGUGAAAAUACCAGCCCUCAUCACUCUGCAGUCUGCCCCCCAGCCCACUGAUAGCAACCAUCAUAAUGCCCCACCCAGCUUCCGGCACCUUUCGCCACUCUGGCACAAACCGACACAGCUUUGCAAUCUCGCCAGCAUGCAGAGUCUGAUGUCUUCCCUAUAGAUGGUAUGCUUUUAAAAAAAGCUUUAAAGCUGCAUCACAAUGUCAUUGUACUCUUAUCUAAAAAAAAAACCCAAUUUAUACUCCUGAAUGUCAUCUUGUUGUGAUUUUGAAGUUUGAAAAUCUUGGAAUUUCACAGUUUACAUGGUAUAACAAAUAUAUGUGACAGGCAAAAACUAGUAAACACUUUUAGCAGUUACAAGAACUAACACAUGAAUAUCCAACAAAAGGGAAUAGAAAUACAUUGUACUGCCAAUACUUUGGUUUAUUCUUUGUAUGACUUGAAAAUCAGGCUUUAGGGAAAACUAAAUGACAUGUUUCUAUCAUCAAUUACAUGAAGUAAACACACAAGCACUUGCAUACACAUUUAAGAGAUGAGACACGCUAAUUCCAUCUCAUAAAAUGUGUCUAUAGGUGAGACGCUUUGCGUUGAUUGGUGCUGCUGGACCACACUGGAGGUGCGAGUCCGCCAUGUAAUGGUUUAUGCCAUUACAAAGGAGCUGGCCUCUGUACUCAACUGGGCAGGGGGAAAAAACCCAAGGACCAGACAAAGCAAAAAAGGGCAUUUAAAGAGACAGCGCUGUGCAGAUGCAUAUUUGGUAAGUUUUAACAUUUAUUGUAGUUUUAUGAACCUAAAGUGAACAAUAAAGGGAUCAAUUGAUGUGCUGGGUGCGUUUCACAUUUCCUAUGUCUGUUUUUUGCUAUAUUACUUUGUCUUUCUUAAUAGCAAGACUUUCAUGUCCGGUUAAUCUGGAGAUGGAGUCUUUGGUCUUCGGCUUGUUUUGUCCUCGGGUUGUACACUUUGUACAGCC
rnacentral:lncRNA from 1 species